rfam:Dipodomys ordii contig_56312, whole genome shotgun sequence.
GGUGGCUCAAUGGUAGAGCGCUUGCCUUGAAUGCAUGAGGCCCUGGGUUCGAUUCCUCAGCACCA